rnacentral:rRNA from 1 species
CGUAAAGGGCUCGCAGGCGGUUUCUUAAGUCUGAUGUGAAAGCCCCCGGCUCAACCGGGGAGGGUCAUUGGAAACUGGGGAACUUGAGUGCAGAAGAGGAGAGUGGAAUUCCACGUGUAGCGGUGAAAUGCGUAGAGAUGUGGAGGAACACCAGUGGCGAAGGCGACUCUCUGGUCUGUAACUGACGCUGAGGAGCGAAAGCGUGGGGAGCGAACAGGAUUAGAUACCCUGGUAGUCCACGCCGUAAACGAUGAGUGCUAAGUGUUAGGGGGUUUCCGCCCCUUAGUGCUGCAGCUAACGCAUUAAGCACUCCGCCUGGGGAGUACGGUCGCAAGACUGAAACUCAAAGGAAUUGACGGGGGCCCGCACAAGCGGUGGAGCAUGUGGUUUAAUUCGAAGCAACGCGAAGAACCUUAACCCAGGUCUUGACAUCCUUCUGACAAAUCCCUAGAGAUAGGACCGUCCCCCUUCCGGGGGGCCAGAGUGACAGGUGGUGCAUGGUUGUCGUCAGCUCGUGUCGUGAGAUGUUGGGUUAAGUCCCGCAACGAGCGCAACCCUUGAUCUUAGUUGCCAGCAUUCAGUUGGGCACUCUAAGGUGACUGCCGGUGACAAACCGGAGGAAGGUGGGGAUGACGUCAAAUCAUCAUGCCCCUUAUGACCUGGGCUACACACGUGCUACAAUGGACAGAACAAAGGGCAUCGAAACCGCGAGGUUAAGCCAAUCCCACAAAUCUGUUCUCACUUCGGAUCGCAGUCUGCACUCUCGACUGCGUGAAGCUGGAAUCGCUAGU